GUAGGUGGCAAGCGUUGUCCGGAAUUAUUGGGCGUAAAGCGCGCGCAGGCGGUCCUUUAAGUCUGAUGUGAAAGCCCACGGCUCAACCGUGGAGGGUCAUUGGAAACUGGGGGACUUGAGUACAGAAGAGGAAAGCGGAAUUCCAAGUGUAGCGGUGAAAUGCGUAGAGAUUUGGAGGAACACCAGUGGCGAAGGCGGCUUUCUGGUCUGUAACUGACGCUGAGGCGCGAAAGCGUGGGGAGCAAACAGGGAUUAGAUACCCUGGUAGUCCACGCCAUAAACGAUGAGUGCUAAGUGUUAGGGGGUUUCCGCCCCUUAGUGCUGCAGCUAACGCAUUAAGCACUCCGCCUGGGGAGUACGGCCGCAAGGCUG
rnacentral:rRNA from 1 species